rnacentral:rRNA from 1 species
AGUGGCAGACGGGUGAGUAACAUGUGGGUAUCUGCCCUAUGGCCUGGAAUAACACGAGGAAACUUGUGCUAAUACCGGAUAAGUCUUUACGGAGAAAGCUUUAUGCACCAUUGGAUGAGCCCGCAAUUGAUUAGUUUGUUGGUAGGGUAAUGGCCUACCAAGACUGUGAUCAAUAGCUGAUUUGAGAGGAUGAUCAGCCACAUUGGGACUGAGACACGGCCCAAACUCCUACGGGAGGCAGCAGUGGGGAAUCUUGCACAAUGGAGGAAACUCUGAUGCAGCGAUACCGCGUGAGUGAAGAAGGCCUUUGGGUUGUAAAGCUCUUUCGUCGGGGAAGAAAAUGACUGUACCCGAAUAAGAAGGUCCGGCUAACUUCGUGCCAGCAGCCGCGGUAAUACGAAGGGACCUAGCGUAGUUCGGAAUUACUGGGCUUAAAGAGUUCGUAGGUGGUUGAAAAAGUUGGUGGUGAAAUCCCAGAGCUUAACUCUGGAACUGCCAUCAAAACUUUUCAGCUAGAGUUUGAUAGAGGAAAGUAGAAUUUCUAGUGUAGAGGUGAAAUUCGUAGAUAUUAGAAAGAAUACCGAUUGCGAAGGCAACUUUCUGGAUCAUUACUGACACUGAGGAACGAAAGCAUGGGUAGCGAAGAGGAUUAGAUACCCUCGUAGUCCAUGCCGUAAACGAUGUGUGUUGGACGUUGGAAAUUUAUUUUCAGUGUCGCAGCGAAAGCGAUAAACACACCGCCUGGGGAGUACGACCGCAAGGUUAAAACUCAAAUGAAUUGACGGGGACCCGCACAAGUAGUGGAGCAUGUGGUUUAAUUCGAAGAUACGCGCAGAACCUUACCAACACUUGACAUGUUCGUCGCGACUUUAAGAGAUUAAAGUUUUCGGUUCGGCCGGACGAAACACAGGUGCUGCAUGGCUGUCGUCAGCUCGUGUCGUGAGAUGUUGGGUUAAGUCCCGCAACGAGCGCAACCCUCACUUUUAGUUGCCAUCAUUAAGUUGGGCACUCUGAAAGAACUGCCAGUGAUAAGCUGGAGGAAGGUGGGGAUGACGUCAAGUCCUCAUGGCCCUUACGUGUUGGGCUACACACGUGCUACAAUGGUAUCUACAACAGGAAGCGAAACCGCGAGGUUAAGCAAAUCCUUAAAAGAUACCUCAGUUCGGAUUGCACUCUGCAACUCGAGUGCAUGAAGCUGGAAUUACUAGUAAUCGUGGAUCAGCGUGCCACGGUGAAUGCGUUCCCGGGUCUUGUACACACCGCCCGUCA